UACCUCUGAGGAUCAUAUCUGGAGAGUUUCCAGUACUCUACCAGUCUUGACUAUGGGAGAGAGAGUCAAGCAGAGACAUAUCCAUUCCAAUCUUAGCUUGGGCCAUGGCUAGCUAGUGGAAGGCAAUCUGCUACCAGU